CCAGGGUUUGUCGAAGCCACCUGUGACGCCGUCGCUGGCGGAUCCGAUGGGGUCGAACAAGACGAGCAGAGGCGGCGGGGCGACCGCAUCUCCUUGUGCCCGUCUCCGGGACGCCUACCACGACUGCUUCAACAGGUGGUAUUCGGAGAAGUUCUCCAAGGGCCAGUGGGACAAAGAAGAGUGCGUCGCCGAGUGGGACAAAUACAGAGCGUGCCUCGCGCAACAUUUGGAAGACAAACAUCUGAGGCGUAUACUCUUGGAGACAGAAGCUUCUCCAUAUUUUGUUAAAAAUGAUGCAAGCUCCCCUGCAGAUAGAGAUGGCACCACCCACCAGUGACUAUAUAUUCAUGAGGUGCUUCUUGUUCUCCAAGUUUGCACUCAUUAUUUGUGAUAUUGCAUCAUUUGGUCACAAUGAGAAGAUGCGUUGAUUAUGAUAGUGUCGUAACCGUAGCAUGCAAGUGGGUGGAGGUGUAUUUUAGGCUUUGUUCAGAUUUGUCAGCAACAAAUUUUGAUUUACUAGGAUCGGGAAGAUGAAACCGACUCCGUAGUUAAUUAGCCGGGUACUUCUGUUUCUUCUUCUGUUCCUUGCUUUCUUCUUCUGUUGACGGCAGAAGGAAAAUCGAAGAGUGAAAGUUUCACUGGAAGACGGAGAGAUAUCGUCAAAAGGAUUGAGGUCUAUGGGUACAACCAUAUGGUCCUCGGGACGGCCUGUAUUCCUAGCACAGAAGAGCUUGCUUGCUUGCUUGCUAGCUAAAUCUUUCCAGUGGCAAAACUAUGGAGGUCCGGAGAACUUCAAAUGGCAACUGAAGAAAUCAGAGGAAGUCAAAAUGCAGGCAGAUGAUGGUUCUUGCAAUUGUACUAAUUAAUGGAGUGUAUGGCUAAAACUUCCAAGUUUUCUCCAGGCUGCUAAGAUUUUUGA